rnacentral:rRNA from 1 species
ACUUAUAUUCUGUAGCAAGGUUAACCGAAUAGGGGAGCCGGAGGGAAACCGAGUCUUAACCGGGCGUUAAGUUGCAGGGUAUAGACCCGAAACCCGGUGAUCUAGCCAUGGGCAGGUUGAAGGUUGGGUAACACUAACUGGAGGACCGAACCGACUAAUGUUGAAAAAUUAGCGGAUGACCUGUGGCUGGGGGUGAAAGGCCAAUCAAACCGGGAGAUAGCUGGUUCUCCCCGAAAGCUAUUUAGGUAGCGCCUCGUGAAUUCAUCUCCGGGGGUAGAGCACUGUUUCGGCUAGGGGGCCAUCCCGGCUUACCAACCCGAUGCAAACUGCGAAUACCGGAGAAUGUUAUCACGGGAGACACACGGCGGGUGCUAACGUCCGUCGUGAAGAGGGAAACAACCCAGACCGCCAGCUAAGGUCCCAAAGUCAUGGUUAAGUGGGAAACGAUGUGGGAAGGCCCAGACAGCCAGGAUGUUGGCUUAGAAGCAGCCAUCAUUUAAAGAAAGCGUAAUAGCUCACUGGUCGAGUCGGCCUGCGCGGAAGAUGUAACGGGGCUAAACCAU